ACAGGGGGCUCGAGCGUUAAUCGGAAUCAUUGGGCUUAAAGGGUGCGUAGGCGGGUCGCUAAGUGUUCUGUGAAAUCCCCCGGCUCAACUGGGGAAUUGCAGGGCAUACUGGCGGCCUUGAGGCAUGUAGGGGCGGACGGAACUGUAGGUGGAGCGGUGAAAUGCGUAGAUAUCUACAGGAACGCCGAUGGUGAAGACGGUCCGCUGGGCAUGUCCUGACGCUGAGGCACGAAAGCGUGGGGAGCAAACAGGAUUAGAUACCCUGGUAGUCCACGCCCUAAACGAUGUACACUAGAUCGGUGCGGCUCUGACGCCGUAUCGGUCGAAGUAAAAACGAUAAGUGUACCGCCUGGGGAGUACGGUCGCAAGGCUA
rnacentral:rRNA from 1 species